rnacentral:sRNA from 1 species
AGGCACCUCUGGGGUAUCUCUUGCCACAACAGUUGCCCCUGGAAGUUUCAGCACAGAAGCCACAACUUCUGUAGGAGAAAAUGGAAAAACAAGAGGUGAAAUAAUCACAGGUACUACCGAGGGCACCUCUGGCAAAGUUCUGGAACCUGGAAGUGCCCACACAGAGGCCACAACUUUCCCAGGAGGCAGUGGGAUUACCCGAGCAGGACCGCCAGGAGGUACCACUGGAGAAUUGUCUAGAACAACCAUUAUACCUGGAAGUUCUAACACAGAGGCCACGACUUCCACAAAAGGGACUGGUACUUCUGGAACUGGCUUCAAAACUGGCACCUCUCGGGUGGCACCUGGCACAACAGUUUCCCCUGGAAGUUUCAGCACAGCCACAAUUUCCCCUGGAGCAAGUAGAACGACUGGGGCUGGACCUGCUGCAGAAACCACAACUUCCCUAGAAGGAGGUGGCACCACUGGAGCAGAAAUGAAAUCAGGAGCCACCUCCAGAGUACCGGGAAGUAACACAGGCACAGCUGGAGUGCCCUCUGCUACAACAAUUGCCCCUGGGAGCUCCAACUCAGAGGCCACGACUUCUUUAGGAGAAAGUGGAAAAACAAGAGCUGAAACAAUCACAGGUACUACUGAGGGUAAAACUCUGGCAGCUGGAAGUGCCCACACAGAGGCCACAACUUUCUCAGGAGGCAGUGGGACCACCCGAGCAGGACCACCGGGCGGCACUUCUGGCACAUCAGGAGGAUAUGUCCCUGGAAGGGAAACAGAGCCCACAACUUCCAUUGAAGAAACUGGAACUUCCAGAACUAUAUUCAAAACUGUAGGCAUCACUUCAGCCCCAGGGAGGCAAGCAGGCACCUCUGUGGUGGCGCCUAGCACAACAGUUGCCCCUGGAAGUUUCAGCACAGCAGCCACAACUUCUCCUGGAGCAAGUGGAAUGACUGGGGUUAGAACCACUUCAAAGACUACAACUUCCCUAGGUGGAACUGGCACCACUAGAACUGAAAUAAAAUCAGGAGCCACCACUGGAACACCAGGAAUUAAGACAGAUAUC